rnacentral:rRNA from 1 species
GACAGAGGGGGCAAGCGUUGCUCGGAAUCACUGGGCGUAAAGGGCGCGUAGGCGGGAUGGCAAGUCAGUCGUGAAAUCUCUCGGCUCAACCGAGAAACGUCGGCUGAUACUGCCGUUCUUGAGGGAUGCAGAGGAGACUGGAAUUCCCGGUGUAGCGGUGAAAUGUGUAGAGAUCGGGAGGAACACCGGUGGCGAAGGCGGGUCUCUGGGCAUUUCCUGACGCUGAGGCGCGAAAGUGUGGGGAGCGAACAGG